rnacentral:lncRNA from 1 species
GAUAAUAAAAACUUUUGAAAACAAAACACACGCGAAAAUAAAAGCUAUCAACAUAUAAUUUUUAUCCUGGUUCACUUGAAAUUCUAAGCUACUCCGGUCCACCCGACCAAGGUGAUUUCGCCUUCAAUAAGGACUUAAUCCAUUAAUAUUAAAAGAUUAUAACAAAUGAGCGUCUAAGAGGAUAAAUAUCUCUUAGACCUCUCAAGUUUACAGACUUCAUAAGUCAC